rnacentral:miRNA from 1 species
CAGUGGGGGCAGGCCAGCAGGA